rnacentral:rRNA from 1 species
GACGUAGGGCGCAAGCGUUGUCCGGAUUUAUUGGGCGUAAAGAGCUCGUAGGCGGCCUGUCGCGUCGACCGUGAAAACCCGCAGCUCAACUGCGGGCUUGCGGUCGAUACGGGCAGGCUGGAGUUCGGUAGGGGAGACUGGAAUUCCUGGUGUAGCGGUGAAAUGCGCAGAUAUCAGGAGGAACACCAACGGCGAAGGCAGCUCUCUGGGACGUUACUGACGCUGAGACGCGAAAGCGUGGGGAGCAAACAGG